rnacentral:rRNA from 1 species
UACGUAGGGUGCAAGCGUUAAUCGGAAUUACUGGGCGUAAAGCGUGCGCAGCAGGCUUUGCAAGACAGAUGUGAAAUCCCCGGGCUUAACCUGGGAACUGCAUUUGUGACUGCAUGGCUGGAGUGCGGCAGAGGGGGAUGGAAUUCCGCGUGUAGCAGUGAAAUGCGUAGAGAUGCGGAGGAACACCGAUGGCGAAGGCAGCCCCCUGGGCUAACACUGACGCUCAGGCACGAAAGCGUGGGGAGCAAACAGG